rnacentral:misc_RNA from 1 species
GAAAUGCGAUACUUGGUGUGAAUUGCAGAAUCCCGUGAACCAUCGAGUCUUUGAACGCAAGUUGCGCCCGAAGCCACUAGGCUGAGGGCACGUCUGCCUGGGUGUCACGUAUCGUGUUGCCACCGACCACUCACUCCUAGAGGAGAUGUGCUGGUUUGUGGGCGUAAAUUGGCCUCCCGUGCCUUGUCGUGCGGCUGGCACAAAAGCGAGUUUUCGACAAUGGUCGUCGCGACAUCGGUGGUUGUAAAAAGACCUUAUCUUGUCGUGCGAAUCCCUGUCACCUUAGAGAGCUCCAGGAUCCUUAGGCGCCACACAUUUUGUGCGCUUUGAAUGUGACCCCAGGUCAGGCGGGACUACCUGCUGAGUUUAA